rnacentral:lncRNA from 1 species
CAAACCUCAAAGAAGAAGAAGUUUCUCUAUAGGUCCAAGGUGAAGCCUUAUUCUGAUUAAGCUUCAAUAAUCAAUUCCUUCUGGUGGGGCUUGAAUUUCCUGUCAAAAAGUAGAAGACAAUGCAUAUGGCAGAAUAAGAAGUGUUCUUUUUUUUUUAUACUACAAGCUUUCUUUUAGUUUUUGUUGAAAAUUUAAUUUAUAAAUUUAGAGUCUUGGGAUUUAUUUUAAUAUAUUUUUUUCUAUUAGUUUAUUGGGAUUUUGCUUAUUUGGUCUUGAAUGUAUACUGUGAUUCUGGGUAUCAUUGAAGAAAAAGAGAGGAAAAUAUGAACAGGGGAUGGACAUGUGUGUAAUGUGAAAAGGAAUUGUUAUUACCUGUAAAGUUUGUGUAAAUUUGUUGGUGUAUUAUCUCUUGUUCUAUGUUCAUUAAUAAUUUGUUAUCAACUUUGUUGUUUUUCCCUUUAAAGUAUUGUGAAGAUCUAAAAGGAAGGUCCUCUUUGUUUUUUUUUGUCUUUUCAAUCCAAUGUAAUAUAUAUUAUUCAUAAUGUAGUCAAAUUAUUUCUAAUUUUAAUUGGAUUUAAUU